rnacentral:rRNA from 1 species
AUUGAACGCUAGCGGGAUGCUUUACACAUGCAAGUCGAACGGCAGCGCGGACUUCGGUCUGGCGGCGAGUGGCGAACGGGUGAGUAAUGUAUCGGAACGUGCCCAGUAGCGGGGGAUAACUACGCGAAAGCGUAGCUAAUACCGCAUACGCCCUACGGGGGAAAGCAGGGGAUCGUAAGACCUUGCACUAUUGGAGCGGCCGAUAUCGGAUUAGCUAGUUGGUGAGGUAACGGCUCACCAAGGCGACGAUCCGUAGCUGGUUUGAGAGGACGACCAGCCACACUGGGACUGAGACACGGCCCAGACUCCUACGGGAGGCAGCAGUGGGGAAUUUUGGUCAAUGGGGGCAACCCUGAUCCAGCCAUCCCGUGUGUGCGAUGAAGGCCUUCGGGUUGUAAAGCACUUUUGGCAGGAAAGAAACGUCGCGGGCUAAUACCCCGUGGAACUGACGGUACCUGCAGAAUAAGCACCGGCUAACUACGUG